rnacentral:rRNA from 1 species
AAGUCAUAACAAGGUUUCCGUAGGUGAACCUGCGGAAGGAUCAUUAGUGAUUUGGCCGAGAGGCCUUUCAAUAAUCCUCACACCUGUGAACCCGUCGGUGGGCCUCGCCCGUCGGACACCCCUUUACAACACUAUGUGUAACGAACGUGAUGUAUCUUAAUGAAACAAAACUUUCAACAACGGAUCUCUUGGCUCUCGCAUCGAUGAAGAACGCAGCGAAAUGCGAUAAGUAAUGUGAAUUGCAGAAUUCAGUGAAUCAUCGAAUCUUUGAACGCACCUUGCGCCUCCUGGUAUUCCGAGAGGCAUGCCUGUUUGAGUGUCAUGAAACAUCAAUCCCCGAGGGUUUUUGGACCCACGGUGGAAUUGGACCUGGGUGUUUGCCUGUCGUGGGCUCGCCUCAAAUGACUCAGUGGGAACCUCCCGACCUGUGCCUGACGUGAUAAGUUUCGUCUCGGCCGGUCCCAAGGCCCGCUCACAACCCCAACCUUUUUGACAUUGACCUCAAAUCAGGUAGGGCUACCCGCUGAACUUAA